rnacentral:rRNA from 1 species
UACGUAGGGUCCGAGCGUUGUCCGGAAUUAUUGGGCGUAAAGAGCUCGUAGGCGGUUUGUCGCGUCUGCUGUGAAAACCUAGGGCUUAACCCUGGGCUUGCAGUGGAUACGGGCAGACUAGAGGUAGGUAGGGGAGAAUGGAAUUCCUGGUGUAGCGGUGAAAUGCGCAGAUAUCAGGAGGAACACCGGUGGCGAAGGCGGUUCUCUGGGCCUUACCUGACACUGAGGAGCGAAAGCGUGGGGAGCGAACAGG